GAAGACAGCCCAGCUGCCGGGGAGUCCACCGCCGCCACCUGCUGCCGCACCGGAGCAAUUUUCGACCACAAAACGAGGUUGACCGAAGCAAAACACCCAACCACAACGUGAGUCAGAGGAGCCGCCGCACCGGAGAGCCCCACCGCCGGUGAGUUUCGAUUUUUUACGUUUUUUUGACCCACCGAGGGCCCUAAGAGUGUUUUCUCGCAGGAAUCGAUGCAAGUUUGGUUGAAUUCAGCCAAAAACGGCCGAAAAUAGCCAACCUGAGGUGGGUCACCGCCGCCAUCACUGGAGCACGGUGGAGCCCCC
rnacentral:lncRNA from 1 species